AUUGAACGCUGGCGGCAGGCUUAACACAUGCAAGUCGAGCGGAGCGAGGGUGCUUGCACCUUAGCUUAGCGGCGGACGGGUGAGUAAUGCUUAGGAAUCUGCCUAUUAGUGGGGGACAACAUUCCGAAAGGAAUGCUAAUACCGCAUACGCCCUACGGGGGAAAGCAGGGGAUCUUCGGACCUUGCGCUAAUAGAUGAGCCUAAGUCGGAUUAGCUAGUUGGUGGGGUAAAGGCCUACCAAGGCGACGAUCUGUAGCGGGUCUGAGAGGAUGAUCCGCCACACUGGGACUGAGACACGGCCCAGACUCCUACGGGAGGCAGCAGUGGGGAAUAUUGGACAAUGGGGGGAACCCUGAUCCAGCCAUGCCGCGUGUGUGAAGAAGGCCUUUUGGUUGUAAAGCACUUUAAGCGAGGAGGAGGCUACCGAGAUUAAUACUCUUGGAUAGUGGACGUUACUCGCAGAAUAAGCACCGGCUAACUCUGUGCCAGCCGCCGCAGUAAAAC
rnacentral:rRNA from 1 species